UUCAAAUGAUGAACAUCAAAUGCAACUAUGAAUCACUAUGAUUAUCAAAAACAAUACGAGCUUUUUAACUCUGAUGUAA
rnacentral:snoRNA from 1 species